rnacentral:rRNA from 1 species
UACGAAGGGGGCUAGCGUUGUUCGGAAUUACUGGGCGUAAAGCGUGCGCAGGCGGCUUCUCAAGUCAGGGGUGAAAGCCCAGAGCUCAACUCUGGAAUUGCCUUUGAGACUGAGAGGCUUGAGUACGGGAGAGGUGAGUGGAAUUCCCAGUGUAGAGGUGAAAUUCGUAGAUAUUGGGAAGAACACCGGUGGCGAAGGCGGCUCACUGGCCCGAUACUGACGCUGAGGCACGAAAGCGUGGGGAGCAAACAGG